AUGUUAUUUCAACAGCCUCUAUAUUAAAAUUGGAACCAUGCAGAAGUUUAGCAUGGCCUCUGCCCAAGCACGACAGCACAAAAGUGAAGUGCUUCCUGUAUUU
ensembl:snRNA U6 U6 spliceosomal RNA